rnacentral:rRNA from 1 species
GUGCCAGCCGCCGCGGUAAUACGUAGGGUGCGAGCGUUAAUCGGAAUUACUGGGCGUAAAGCGUGCGCAGGCGGUUCUGCAAGUCAGAUGUGAAAGCCCCGGGCUCAACCUGGGAAUGGCAUUGGAAACUGGUCAGCUGGAGUGUGGCAGAGGGGGGUGGAAUUCCGCGUGUAGCAGUGAAAUGCGUAGAGAUGCGGAGGAACACCGAUGGCGAAGACAGCCCCCUGGGCCAACACUGACGCUCAGGCACGAAAGCGUGGGGAGCAAACAGGAUUAGAUACCCCUGUAGUCC